rnacentral:rRNA from 1 species
UACGGAGGAUGCAAGCGUUAUCCGGAAUUAUUGGGCGUAAAGCGUCCGCAGGUGGUUAGACAAGUCUGCUGUUAAAGCGUGGAGCUUAACUCCAUAUCGGCGGCGGAAAAUGUCUGACUAGAGUUCGGUAGGGGUCACGGGAAUUCCCAGUGUAGCGGUGAAAUGCGUAGAUAUUGGGAAGAACACCAGCGGCGAAAGCGCGUGACUGGGCCGAGACUGACACUCAUGGACGAAAGCUAGGGGAGCGAAAGGG